GAUGAACGCUGGCGGCGUGCCUAAUACAUGCAAGUUGAGCGAAUGGAUUGAGAGCUUGCUCUUAUGAAGUUAGCGGCGGACGGGUGAGUAACACGUGGGUAACCUGCCCAUAAGACUGGGAUAACUCCGGGAAACCGGGGCUAAUACCGGAUAACAUUUUGAACCGCAUGGUUCGAAAUUGAAAGGCGGCUUCGGCUGUCACUUAUGGAUGGACCCGCGUCGCAUUAGCUAGUUGGUGAGGUAACGGCUCACCAAGGCAACGAUGCGUAGCCGACCUGAGAGGGUGAUCGGCCACACUGGGACUGAGACACGGCCCAGACUCCUACGGGAGGCAGCAGUAGGGAAUCUUCCGCAAUGGACGAAAGUCUGACGGAGCAACGCCGCGUGAGUGAUGAAGGCUUUCGGGUCGUAAAACUCUGUUGUUAGGGAAGAACAAGUGCUAGUUGAAUAAGCUGGCACCUUGACGGUACCUAACCAGAAAGCCACGGCUAGCUACGUGCCAGCCGCCGCGGUAA
rnacentral:rRNA from 1 species